rnacentral:tmRNA from 1 species
CUUCGCUGAAUCCUUGAAUAGCGGCGGGUUCGGCCCCAUAAUCCUAGGAUGGUUGUAAUUCCGGCAAUCUGGAGGCGUUCUGGACGCGGGUUCGAUUCCCGCCACCUCCACCUAAAGGCACCGGAGUGCGUUUAGGUGGGGGUGUACUGGCUUCGACAGGGCGGGCGAAGGUGAGCAGGCAACUCGUCAGGCGAUCGACGUUAAUGAAGCAAAUCUCUAAACGCCAACGAUGAGCGUUUCGCAAUCGCCGCUUAAGGCCUUUGCCGAGGCUGCUUGAGCCUUGUUACCAAAGAAAAGCCGGCGGGGACUUCGGUCCCCGUCGUCA